CCCAAGAGAUCGGGAUAACACCUGGAAACAGAUGCUAAUACCGGAUAACAACAGAUGAUGCCUAUCAACUGUUUAAAAGAUGGUUCUGCUAUCACUCUUGGAUGGACCUGCGGUGCAUUAGCUAGUUGGUAGGGUAACGGCCUACCAAGGCGAUGAUGCAUAGCCGAGUUGAGAGACUGAUCGGCCACAUUGGGACUGAGACACGGCCCAAACUCUUACGGGAGGCAGCAGCA
rnacentral:rRNA from 1 species